rnacentral:rRNA from 1 species
AGUGAACGCUGGCGGUAGGCCUAACACAUGCAAGUCGAACGGCAGCACAGUAAGAGCUUGCUCUUACGGGUGGCGAGUGGCGGACGGGUGAGGAAUACAUCGGAAUCUACUUUUUCGUGGGGGAUAACGUAGGGAAACUUACGCUAAUACCGCAUACGACCUACGGGUGAAAGCAGGGGAUCUUCGGACCUUGCGCGAUUGAAUGAGCCGAUGUCGGAUUAGCUAGUUGGCGGGGUAAAGGCCCACCAAGGCGACGAUCCGUAGCUGGUCUGAGAGGAUGGUCAGCCACACUGGAACUGAGACACGGUCCAGACUCCUACGGGAGGAAGCAGUGGGGAAUAUUGGACAAUGGGCGCAAGCCUGAUCCAGCCAUACCGCGUGGGUGAAGAAGGCCUUCGGGUUGUAAAGCCCUUUUGUUGGGAAAGAAAAGCAGCAGGUUAAUACCCCGCUGUUCUGACGGUACCCAAAGAAUAAGCGCCGGCUAACUUCGUG